rnacentral:rRNA from 1 species
GACGAACCGUGCGAACGUUAUUCGGAAUCACUGGGCUUAAAGCGCGUGUAGGCGGGCGGGAACGUCGGUCGUUGAAAGCCCCCGGCUCAACCGGGGAACGGGCGCCGAAACGACCCGCCUCGAGGGACGUAGGGGGACCUGGAACUUCCGGUGGAGCGGUGAAAUGCGUUGAGAUCGGAAGGAACGCCCGUGGCGAAAGCGAGGUCCUGGACGUCUUCUGACGCUGAGACGCGAAAGCUAGGGGA